CGAGUUUGAUCAUGGCUCAGGAUGAACGCUAGCGGCAGGCUUAACACAUGCAAGUCGAGGGGUAUAGUUCUUCGGAACUAGAGACCGGCGCACGGGUGCGUAACGCGUAUGCAAUCUACCUUUCACAAAGGGAUAGCCCAGAGAAAUUUGGAUUAAUACCUUAUAGUAAUACGACUUGGCAUCAAGAUGUAUUUAAAGAUUUAUCGGUGAAAGAUGAGCAUGCGUCCCAUUAGCUUGUUGGUAAGGUAACGGCUUACCAAGGCAACGAUGGGUAGGGGUCCUGAGAGGGAGAUCCCCCACACUGGUACUGAGACACGGACCAGACUCCUACGGGAGGCAGCAGUGAGGAAUAUUGGACAAUGGGCGCAAGCCUGAUCCAGCCAUGCCGCGUGCAGGAUGACGGUCCUAUGGAUUGUAAACUGCUUUUGUACAGGAAGAAACCCUUUCACGUGUGGAAGAUUGACGGUACUGUAAGAAUAAGGAUCGGCUAACUCCGUG
rnacentral:rRNA from 1 species